CAGUAGCGCGGUAAAACGAAGGGUGCAAGCGUUACUCGGAAUUACUGGGCGUAAAGCGUGCGUAGGUGGUUGUUUAAGUCUGUCGUGAAAGCCCUGGGCUCAACCUGGGAAUUGCGAUGGAUACUGGGCGACUAGAGUGCGGUAGAGGAUAGUGGAAUUUCCGGUGUAGCAGUGAAAUGCGUAGAGAUCGGAAGGAACAUCUGUGGCGAAGGCGACUAUCUGGGCCAACACUGACACUGAGACACGAAAGCGUGGGGAGCAAACAGGAUUAGAUACCCCCGUAGUCCCUGUCUCUUAUACA
rnacentral:rRNA from 1 species